UUGGCUCCCGGCUCUCUCAUCUCUCCACCACGCUCACCCAGAUCCUCCUAGCCAUGCUCCUAUCGCCAUCCCCAUCUCCCUCACAGCUCCCAAAAUCUCAGAUUAGUCGCCAUAGCCCCUCACCAUAACUCCCACACGGUCGCACCUCCGCCAUCCUUUGGCGCGACCACCCAGCACCACCUUCAUCUCCAAGCAGCAGCUGCAACAGCUCGUGACCAUCUGCAGAGCCUCUCCCUCAUCUCCCUCAUCUCCCUCAUCUCCUUCAUCUCCUUCAUCCCUUGUCAACGCAGCAACUAGCAGCAGCGGUAGCCACCUAGCCACAGUAAAUCACCCCUCACCCUUGUGGCUGCUCUCCAUCGCCAGUUCGUCGUCACCACCUUCCGGGAGCCAUCGCCUCCAUCAUCACCGAGCAUCCCACCACCUCCAUCCUCCUAUAGACCCAGCAAACAACAUCACCACCUCUUAGCAAACCGAGCUCCAUUCUCCCUCCGCCUUUUUCUCAACCACUCAAGCUCACCUCCACGGGGGGCCCAGAUCUGUUGUUCCUGGUACGUGACAAGGCACUGUGCUGGCUUUGCCAUCUUUACCGCUGUGUUUGGCUCAUCAGGGAUAUUUUAGCUUGCGUUGCUGCUAUGAGCCUCUCCCUCACUCACACUCGCAUACGCAGGAACACACACAUACACACUCACGACUCUCCAUUCACCCAACACAGCGAGCCAGUCGCAGCCCAACCAUCUCUCGGCUAUUCCCCCUUCACAGCACAACCACCAUCCUCCCAACUGCAUUUCCGGCUAUCCAAGACACCACCACCUGUGAGCAUCACCACCCCUCCAUCCUCACUUGCAUCAUGAGGGCAUUGUGAUGGUCUCGACGACAAAAGUCCCGCUGCAAGUAGCCUAGCACAGCCACAGCAGCACUAGAGCUCGUGAGCACUGUUCACCGCCAACCCAAAGCUGUCUUGAACAUUCAGUGUUGAGCCUCUGCAGAAUACAGGAUAGCUAAUGAGCUAAGGGAUUUAUUCGUGGAGUUUGCAGAUCAUCAUAAGUGACUGCAUAUGAGGCUUGCAUUGGAAAAGAGAAAACUCCUAGACAUGUCUGCCCCAUAAGUGCUUGCAGAGUUCAGACGUGUUCUUGGAUGGCCACUUAAAUAAGCAGGGUUUGCGGCUCUCAAAACACUAGGACGAUGCCAAACACUUCAGUCGGGUCGAAUGCGUGCAACUUUUGACUUUUCCUGUAUUUCUUGUUCACUGAACAUAAUUAAUUUAUAUAUUUUAAUUUGAAUUUGUACUUGUAUGUAUUUUAAUUUUGAACAACAUUUAUUUUAAAUUUUAAUAAUUUUUGAAUGUUUU